CGAAUUUCUGAACGAAAGUUGGGUGGUAUUUAACACAAUUAAUAUUCCUAUAUAGUAUUAUAUUGCUCAUCCGAGAUCAUUUUAUCGUGUGACCGACAUCCCCAGACGCGAAUGUAGGAUAAUGCUAUUAUGUUAAUGGUUUGUUUAAACUUAAACUUAAAGGGAGGUAAACAUUAUGUGUAAAAGUCCAACAUCCUAAAUAUUGAACUUGACACGAGUUAAUAACCUAGUACACACUGACAGGAACAGAUUUAUGCACAACUAACAAUGCCUGAUUUUCUAAGGAUUCUCGUGACGAAGGCGGCGUCACCCACAGCCUAUCAUUUGUUACCGAUGCUGGCUUCUGGCGACAUCACUCAAGGACAGCGAAUAGAAUUGAUAUUAUGUGACUGCAUUGAUGCCCAAGAAGACCUGACUGGUGUAGCUAUGGAACUACAGGACUGUGCAUUCCCAAUGUUAGCAUCUGUGAUCCUGACCAGCAAUUUUUGCGAAGCUUGUAAAAGUGCUGACGUCAUCAUUGUGCUACCGAGCACUAGUAGCAAUGGAAACAAAGAAGUGGAGAUCAGUUACAGUUCAUUAAAUCAAGUAGACUUUUCAAGCCUAGAUACUGUCAUGCACCCUACCUGUUGUGUCUAAAACGGAAACAGCCAAGGUACAUUGUAGAGGACCUAUGUCUACAGCGUGUGCCAUAGCCAAUUGUAUGACACAAAUAAUCACAGAUAGUGUGAAGGCAAUUGAGAGGGAAAUUGAAGCACGCCAUGAAGAAGCUGAGUUCGGUUGUCCACCAGAUCCGACAAUAGAAGACAUAAUAUUAACACAUUGUGAUUAUCACUUCGGAGCUAUCAGUAUAGGUGCAAGAACACUAGUUGUAUUUGUGUCUUCUAGUGAUGUAAAUGACAUCGAAUGUAUGGACGAGGAUAACUUUGAAGACAAUCAAAUUUACACACAAGUGUAUGCAAGACUGUAAUUUAGCGCUUGAUAUAUGUUUAUGUGUAGAAUAGAAUUACCUGUAAAA
rnacentral:lncRNA from 1 species